AUGGCCAAACUAAAAAGUGACAAAGAAACACAACUUGAAGAUCUGACAGAAGCCUUGGAGAGGUCAGUAAAACUUCAAAAAGAUUUGGAGCAGCAGCUGCUGUGUGAACAAUCAGAAAAAAUGAUAUUAAUAAAAGAGAGAGAAAUUAAGGACUCUGACCACUCAGAGUUUAAGGAACAAGUUCAAAGACUUUUAUCUGAAAAGAAACAUCUUGAGAUCACUAUUGAGAAAUUACAAAAGAGAGAAAAAGAGAUGAAGGAUAUUCUUCAAAUCAGAGAGGAGAAGAAAUGUCCUGUUAAGAACCAAGGAGGCGCUCCUCUGCAAGUGCCCUGGCAACCCGGCACACUUCUGAUUCCAGCAAGGAGAAGAGUUGGAAGAAAGUUGAUGCUGGCACCAGGAGUCCUGGCACUGAUGGAAAGAAGUAUAUGAUUUGGAAGUACAGUUAACUGGUGCAGUUGAAAAUGAACAAAAUUGUUUAAAACAGAUUACAGCACUGAAUGCAGAGCUUGAAAAAGAGAUGUAUGAUUUUAUUUUUAAUUGUUAC
rnacentral:lncRNA from 1 species